rnacentral:rRNA from 1 species
UACGUAGGGUGCAAGCGUUGUUCGGAAUUACUGGGCGUAAAGGGCUCGUAGGCGGCCAACUAAGUCAUACGUGAAAUCCCUCGGCUUAACCGGGGAACUGCAUCUGAUACUGGAUGGCUUGAGAUUGGGAGAGGGAUGCGGAAUUCCAGGUGUAGCGGUGAAAUGCGUAGAUAUCCGGAGGAACACCAGUGGCGAAAGCGGCCACCUGGACUGCACCUGACGCUGACACGCGAAAGCUAGGGGAGCGAACGGG